GGUUUAUAUCUAAUGUAGUGUAUUUGAUUCCACAUUAUUAGGACAGGCUCAGACAACGCUGGCUUUAUAUCUAAUGUAGUGUAUUUGAUUGCACAUUAUUAGGACAGGCUCAGACAUUGCUGGGUUUAUAUCUAAUGUAGGGGAUCUGACUGUAUGUUAUCAGGACAGGCUCAGACAUUGCUGGGUUUAUAUCUAAUGUAGGGGAUCUGACUGUAUGUUAUCAGGACAGGCUCAGACAUUGCUGGGUUUAUAUCUAAUGUAGGGGAUCUGACUGUAUGUUAUCAGGACAGGCUCAGACAUUGCUGGGUUUAUAUCUAUUGUAGGAGAUCUGACUGUAUGUUAUCAGGACAGGCUCAGACAGCGCUGGGUUUAUCAGGACAGGCUCAGACAGCGCUAGGUUUAUAUCUAAUGUAGGGGAUCUGACUGUAUGUUAUCAGGACAGGCUCAGACAUUGCUGGGUUUAUGACUAAUAGGGAAUCUGACUGUAUGUUAUCAGGACAGGCUCAGACAGCGCUGGGUUUAUAUCUAAUGUAGGGGAUCUGACUGUAUGUUAUCAGGACAGGCUCAGACAUUGCUGGGUUUGUAUCUAAUGUAGGGGAUCUGACUGUAUGUUAUCAGGACAGGCUCAGACAUUGCUGGGUUUAUAUCUAAUGUAGGGAAUCUGACUGUAUGUUAUCAGGACAGGCUCAGACAGUGCUGGGUUUAUAUCUAAUGUAGGGGAUCUGACUGUAUGUUAUCAGGACAGGCUCAGACAGCGCUGGGUUUAUAUCUAAUGUAGGGGAUCUGAUUGCACAUUAUUAGGACAGGCUCAGACAGCGCUGGGUUUAUAUCUAAUGUAGGGGAUCUGACUGCACGUUAUCAGGACAGGAUCAGACAUUGCUGGGUUUAUAUCUAUUGUAGGAGAUCUGACUGUAUGUUAUCAGGACAGGCUCAGACAGCGCUGGGUUUAGAUCUAAUGUAGGGGAUCUAACUGCAUGUUAUCAGGACAGGCUCAGACAUUGCAAGGUUUGUAUCUAAUGCAGGGCAUCUGGCUGCACAUUAUCAGGACAGGCUCAGACACAGAGCAGAGUUUAUUUCUAGCGUAAAAUUACCUCCUUUCCAAGACAGACAAUUUAUGUCAGAGUGAACUACUAAAUCCAUUUGAAUAUGCAUGUUCAUAUCCAAAUCUACCUCUCUCUGUGUGUGGUAUCAGCUACAUAAUCUCCUGGCCAUUAAAGGGUUUCUGCAGGUGGAAAUAAACUUCCCUAAAUGCAGGAGAGAGGAGGCAGUAAGAAGAGGAAGCAAUGACCCAACCACCUACUGUGAGGGACUAUUUUAGGGAUCCAAAAAGGGGAAGGUAGUCAUUCUGUUAUUCUCUAUAUGGGUAUAUAAAGGUGGGGCACGCAAACAUGAAAAGAGGAACGGCUUUAUCCCCCUGCCCCCUACCUAAGUGUAGUAAAGGUGCUUUAUUUAAUAAAACCCAAGUUCCCAAUUUUAU
rnacentral:lncRNA from 1 species